CCGUUUCCCCGUUCCCCACCCUCACACCCUCUCCCGGCGACGAGCAAAUCCCGCACGAAAUCCCUAGCUUCGCAACGAGCGCGGGCGGCGAGAGUCGAGAGAGCCGGCGACGAGUCUAAUUCAACGAGCGCGGGUGAGAUGAGGAAGGAGAGGCGCUCAACCUGUUUUCAGUAGGCAACUUCUCGGCAGCGCCUGUGGUUCAAUAUGCAUUUUCUGCAAGUUUUUUAGUGGUUUAAGAUGGAGCACUCUCCAAAUCAAUAUGAUAGCGAGGGAGCAGUAAGAACAAGCGUCAUGGCUGGGAACAACACUGGGGUUUUACAAGGUCGUACGCGCCCUAGGAGGAAGCAGGUUCAGGAAGGAAAUAGUACCAACAAGCAGUCUCCCUCACACCCCUAUGUGUCUCAUUUUUUUCUCUAUCAAAGCAAGGUGUAAGACAAUAGGCAAGAAAGAGCCAGCAACUCUAUCUAGCACCAUGGUUGUACAGGAACAGGGGAUCAAAUUUGGGGCAAGAUUCAAAUCAGGCUUUGCAACACUGGGGUACAUGAGGCAAAUCUGCAACACUGGGGUACAGGAGGUACAUCUGGGGAGUUCGACUAGUUAUAGUAGAAGUAAGAAGAAUCUCAUGAUCAAAAUUUCUGGAACAGUCCUGUUAUUACCUUUUGUUGUUCUUCCCCUGGGGGGAAUUUGCCCAAUUCUGGCAACUUUUUUGCCCAUGUUUUCUUCAGAUUAUUGCCUGGUCAACACAAAGAGUUGCAGACGAGCUUGUGUUC